rnacentral:rRNA from 1 species
AGUGAACGCUGGCGGUAGGCCUAACACAUGCAAGUCGAACGGCAGCACAGUAAGAGCUUGCUCUUACGGGUGGCGAGUGGCGGACGGGUGAGGAAUACAUCGGAAUCUACUUUUUCGUGGGGGAUAACGUAGGGAAACUUACGCUAAUACCGCAUACGACCUACGGGUGAAAGCAGGGGAUCUUCGGACCUUGCGCGAUUGAAUGAGCCGAUGUCGGAUUAGCUAGUUGGCGGGGUAAAGGCCCACCAAGGCGGCGAUCCGUAGCUGGUCUGAGAGGAUGUACAGGCACUGAGGAAGUGAGAGCCGGCCCAGGCACUGAGGGGAGGCCGCGGUGGGGAAUUGUGGAAAAAGGGCGGAAGCCUGACCCAGCCACACCAGGGGGGUGAAGAAGCCCCUCGGGUUGGAAAGCCUUUUUGUGGGGAAAAAAAGCCAGCGGGUUAAACCCCCCGUGUUUGACGGGAACCCAAAAAAAAAGCCCCGCUAACUUCCGG